rnacentral:rRNA from 1 species
CCCUUAGAUGUUCUGGGCCGCACGCGCGCUACAAUGAUGAAUUCAACGAGUUUAUAACCUUGGUUGAAAAGCCUGGGUAAUCUUUUGAACUUUCGUCGUGAUGGGGCUAGACCCUUGCAAUUAUUGGUCUCCAACGAGGAAUUCCUAGUAAACGCAAGUCAUCAGCUUGCAUUGAUUACGUCCCUGCCCUUUGUACACACCGCCCGUCGCACCUACCGAUUGAAUGGACCGGUGAAAUCUUCGGAUUGAGACUUUGUUUUCUUCACGGAAAACGCUGUUUUAAAAAGUUGAUUAAACCUUACCAUUUAGAGGAAGGUGAAGUCGUAACA